GCCUUCGGGCAAAUGGUCUAUUUAUAACGAUACAGAGAAGAUGUACGUUUUCCCUCCCAACGUCGCAUGUUCGAUCCCCAACUAACAUCUUCACAGUAGCAUGGCCCCUGCACUAAGGAUGACACGCUCUUCAAAGAGAAGCUACCAAUUUUU
rnacentral:snRNA from 2 species